UACAGAGGUCUCAAGCGUUGUUCGGAUUCAUUGGGCGUAAAGGGCUCGUAGGCGGUCCGUCACGUCGGGAGUGAAAACUUGGGGCUUAACCCCAAGCCUGCUUCCGAUACGGGCGGACUAGAGGUAGGCAGGGGAGAACGGAAUUCCUGGUGUAGCGGUGAAAUGCGCAGAUAUCAGGAGGAACACCGGUGGCGAAGGCGGGUCUCUGGGCCGUAACUGACGCUGAGGCACGAAAGCGUGGGUAGCAAACAGG
rnacentral:rRNA from 1 species